rnacentral:rRNA from 1 species
CCUGUGAGGGUUGCUGGAGGUAUCAGAAGUGCGAAUGCUGACAUAAGUAACGAUAAAGCGGGUGAAAAGCCCGCUCGCCGGAAGACCAAGGGUUCCUGUCCAACGUUAAUCGGGGCAGGGUGAGUCGACCCCUAAGGCGAGGCCGAAAGGCGUAGUCGAUGGGAAACAGGUUAAUAUUCCUGUACUUGGUGUUACUGCGAAGGGGGGACGGAGAAGGCUAUGUUAGCCGGGCGACGGUUGUCCCGGUUUAAGCAUGUAGGCUGGUUGUCCAGGCAAAUCCGGAUAAUCAAGGCUGAGGUGUGAUGACGAGGCACUACGGUGCUGAAGUAACAAAUGCCCUGCUUCCAGGAAAAGCCUCUAAGCAUCAGGUAACAUUAAAUCGUACCCCAAACCGACACAGGUGGUCAGGUAGAGAAUACCAAGGCGCUUGAGAGAACUCGGGUGAAGGAACUAGGCAAAAUGGUGCCGUAACUUCGGGAGAAGGCACGCUGGUGUGUAGGUGAAGUCCCUGCGGAUGGAGCUGAGACCAGUCGAAGAUACCAGCUGGCUGCAACUGUUUAUUAAAAACACAGCACUGUGCAAACACGAAAGUGGACGUAUACGGUGUGACGCCUGCCCGGUGCCGGAAGGUUAAUUGAUGGGGUUAUCCGUAAGGAGAAGCUCUUGAUCGAAGCCCCGGUAAACGGCGGCCGUAACUAUAACGGUCCUAAGGUAGCGAAAUUCCUUGUCGGGUAAGUUCCGACCUGCACGAAUGGCGUAAUGAUGGCCAGGCUGUCUCCACCCGAGACUCAGUGAAAUUGAACUCGCUGUGAAGAUGCAGUGUACCCGCGGCAAGACGGAAAGACCCCGUGAACCUUUACUAUAGCUUGACACUGAACAUUGAGCCUUGAUGUGUAGGAUAGGUGGGAGGCUUUGAAGCGUGGACGCCAGUCUGCGUGGAGCCAACCUUGAAAUACCACCCUUUAAUGUUUGAUGUUCUAACGUUGGCCCCUGACCGGGGUUGCGGACAGUGUCUGGUGGGUAGUUUGACUGGGGCGGUCUCCUCCCAAAGCGUAACGGAGGAGCACGAAGGUUAGCUAAUCCUGGUCGGACAUCAGGAGGUUAGUGCAAUGGCAUAAGCUAGCUUGACUGCGAGCGUGACGGCGCGAGCAGGUGCGAAAGCAGGUCAUAGUGAUCCGGUGGUUCUGAAUGGAAGGGCCAUCGCUCAACGGAUAAAAGGUACUCCGGGGAUAACAGGCUGAUACCGCCCAAGAGUUCAUAUCGACGGCGGUGUUUGGCACCUCGAUGUCGGCUCAUCACAUCCUGGGGCUGAAGUAGGUCCCAAGGGUAUGGCUGUUCGCCAUUUAAAGUGGUACGCGAGCUGGGUUUAGAACGUCGUGAGACAGUUCGGUCCCUAUCUGCCGUGGGCGCUGGAGAAUUGAGGGGGGCUGCUCCUAGUACGAGAGGACCGGAGUGGACGCAUCACUGGUGUUCGGGUUGUCAUGCCAAUGGCACUGCCCGGUAGCUAAAUGCGGAAGAGAUAAGUGCUGAAAGCAUCUAAGCACGAAACUUGCCCCGAGAUGAGUUCUCCCUGAGACUUUAAGUCUCCUGAAGGAACGUUGAAGACGACGACGUUGAUAGGCCGGGUGUGUAAGCGCAGCGAUGCGUUGAGCUAACCGGUACUAAUGAACCGUGAGGCUUAACCUU